UAGCGCAAAGAUAAAAACACGUCCCGGUUGGUAGUCCGGGAGCGGCCCAUGUGCCGUCAGUAACCUGCCUCCUUGGUUGUCCGUUCUUUGUGCGAGACCU
rfam:Oscillibacter sp. KLE 1745 genomic scaffold Scaffold309, whole genome shotgun sequence.